UCGCCUGAAUUCAAAACCUGAAAAGAAAAUAGAAAGCUUACAGGCAUCAGACUGUCCCACAACAUUGUGUAACAAGGAAGAGGAAAAGCCCAAAAGAAGUGGGUAGAAGGAGCUUGUAUGUGAGGGGAGCAUGAAAGCCACGCUUCCGCUUGUUCUCCGAACUUCGUAUACUCCUACACAAUUUACCUCCAUUCUUUAUACAACUCACUCAUCACCACAUAUUUUUUCUCUUCACUACUGUUACACAAAGACAGACUGAGAAGAGGAGAAGGUCCUGAAAAAAUGGCUUUGCAUAGUUGCAUGCACCCACGAGGCUUCCAGCCACAAAAACAUCACCAUCACCUUGUCUUUUAUCUCUUACAGGCAACAAUGUUGGCCUUAGAGGACCAACUGAUCGUUUUGCUCUAAAAUCAUCUUUCUUUUCUCCUUCACUUCACCUCUUGAUUACUUCUUAUAAGCAUCAGCAGCAGCCCCUUGCACCUGCUGCUCCAAGAUUCUCCAUGCGUGCUGCAGCCAAGCAAGCCUACAUUUGUAGAGAUUGCGGGUAUAUUUACAAUGACAGAAAACCAUUGAAAAGCUACCUGAUAAUUACUUCUGCCCUGGUCAGUAACUUCCUUCUCUGGAAAUUGAAUCUUCAUUCUCCAAUGUAAGAAAUACGUUGUGGCCAACCCUCAAGAAGUCAACUGAUCAAGUCUAGUUUCUGCUAUUAGUGGUUAUGUUUUGCAUUUACAAUUGCCUAACUUCAAGUGCAAACUGGUCCUGGAUGCCCAGGAAUCUAGAUAGCCUUGUUCACAGAGUGCUGAUUUCAUUGGUUUAUUUAAGCAUUGCUAUCUAAUCAUAAAGGAAAUGCUGGAAAAGCAGUUGACAUUAAAAAAUAAAUAAUUGAUGGUGAUAAAUUUCAAACCUUUAAAGGCCUUUUUAGAUGACAAUUACAAGGAGGGUUAUGGUAAAUACCGAGUUAAAUUAUGCUUUGCAGUUUGUGGUGCUCCUAAAAGGAGAUUUAGGGAAUACAUGCCUGCUGUGGCAAAAAAUGAUAAUGACACAGACGUUCGAAAAGCACGUAAAACACAGAUUCAGAGAGAUGAAGCAAUUGGGUAUGCAUGAUUCCUUACAACUGGUGAAAUAAUGCAAUCUUCCUUUAGUACUUUGUUUAUAGCUUAUUUGCUGUAGUUCGUACUAAUGAUUUGUAUUUGAACUUGUCAGGCGAGCAUUGCCUAUCGCAGUCGUUGUUGGAGUUGUAGCUUGUUUAAAGAUCCUCAAGGUGGUAAAUUGGCGAUAAGACAAAAGCUUGAUGGGCUUGCAGCAUCAACAAAGUCAGAAAUUUGUGCAACAUCUCCUUUGACAAAUAGCAUCGCCUAAUAAUAAAAGGGGAGAGACAAACAUUCCAUUUCCUGAAGAUGAUUAUAUUGACCUAAAUUAGAUUAGAUUCCUUGGAGCUACAACUUGUGCAUUCCCACCAUAUGCCCAAUCCUCUGAGCUGUUUCGCCACCACCUAUAUGCCUCUCAAAUCCUAACAUGAUUGUUAGUAAUCAUGAUUUAAUCCCUCAAGUCCUCAACCAUCAUCCAGGUACGUUCAUUGAUUGUAAAUUGUAAUAGCAAUAUAACAGGAUAACUAUACAACCAGACAAAAUUGCUGAAAGGUCUCACAGACGGGGGGGCAAGAUAAAUUAGUGAAAUAAUUUGAAGUUUGAUACGUUACAUGCCGUGGUUGAUUAUACAUGUAGCAAGCGAUCACACUUGCAAAACAAAUGAACCUUCUAUUCUUUUCUCCAUCGACUGGAGAGGGGGGAGGUUUAAAGGAGAAAAUAAUUCACUGACACUAGAAGCUGGUGCAGGCUUGAACUCGUAAGGUCCUUCUUUCACUCCCCAAACCUGUAACCAAAAAUAAAAUGAAGGGAAUACAAAAAGAAGAAAGAUAAGAUCCAACUUCACUCCCAAAUAAAAUUAUGCUCAAAUCAAAUGCGUAACCAUGAAAGCAACCUGAUUUCCACCGUCAUCGUAUCCCCUAUCCCAGGUAUGUAUUUCAUUAUUCUUCAAGAUUGCAAGUUCCGAAGUGCAGUAGGUUGCUCCAUUCUGUCAAAGGAAGGAGGACCAUAUUAAUACUAUGCAACUUGUUUCUUCUUCUAGAAAAACAAGUGGCAUUAAUCUAAAGCUCUCAGGUGUCAGAAAAUAUGCCUGCAAGGACUGAGAAAAUAGAGAACUUAAUAAAUGACAAUGAGGGUGAAAAACAAGUACCCAGGAAUUUGGGAAUCCACCAGGUGGAUUGGAGCCUUCAUAUAAGCAGCGUUUUCCACGGUCACAGCGUUUGAGAUGUAUUGUUGUCAGAUGUUCUGCAAUGUCCUGCACCAUGCAUAACAAUGCAAAAUCAUUAAGAAGUCUCAGAGGUAUGUUACAAGGAUGGAGAAGGGAGAAAAGAUGCAGCAUGGGACAGGGGAACAGUUGCACCGUCUAGCCAUCUGGUUUACAUUAGUAAAACAAAGAAAUGUGGUCUUUACUUUGAGUUUUUUGAGUAUUCUGAACAAAUUUGUCAAGGAGACUUCAAGGUUAUUAGGUUGCAGGUCUUGGGCCAUUCUUUACCGACUCAACUAUGAUCACACCUAGGUUCAAAACCCACCUAAUCAGAGACGUAGAGAGAUUCAUAGUUGAGGUUUUCCUCAAAGUCCAAUCCAAAAACCAAUAAAAUCAAUACCUCAUGGAAUCAGAAUCAGUAUCUGAAUGUGUCUAGAAAUCUUACACCAAU